AUAGAGAGAAGAGAAAUUCCAUUUUUCUUUUUCUUCUCUUUCCCUCCACCGCCAAGCUUCUCUCAUUCCAUUCCUCACCAUUUUUUUCACCAUUUCUUCACCAAUUUUCCGAGGGGUUUCAAAGGGUUGAAGGCUGAGAAAGGAAGAAGAAGAAGUUCAAAAAAAUGUAUGAUGAAGAAGACAAGGAGUUUGCAAGACAAACUUCUCUAUAGUUCAUUAAGCACAUCUCUGGUUUAUUGAUUUCGAGCUAUACAAAAAGAAUUAAGAGGGACAAAUUAAAGGGGUCGUGGUGUAUACGAUUGUUCGAGUGGUUCUGUUUCAAGGGCUGUCUGAGAUUAUACACAGGGAAUCAGAUUUACAGUUCUGGGGGUAGAGAUCGAGUUCCCGGUGUCUGAUAGACUACCUUGGUCUGCUAAAGCUCCGAUAUCGAUUGCCAGUACAUGGUUAGAAUUGUGCAUAGAGUCUAUUGUGUUAUGAUGUAUGUAUUUAUGUAUGAUAUAUAUACUUUACAGUUUGUGUAAACUUUAGGAGCUACAGUUGUGUAAAGCUUUGUAUGUUAUGUUUUGGUU